AUUGAACGCUAGCGGGAUGCCUUACACAUGCAAGUCGAACGGAGUGCCGAACGGGUGCGUAAUGUAUCGGAACGUGCCCAGUAGCGGGGGAUAACUCCGCGAAAGCGUAGCUAAUCCCGCAUACUAUUGGAGCGGCCGAUGUCGGAUUCGCUGGUUGGUGGGGUAACGGCUCACCAAGGCGACGAUCCGUAGCGGGUUUGAGAGGACGACCAGCCAAACUGGGACGGAGACACGGCCCAGACUCCUACGGGAGGCAGCAGUGGGGAAUGUGGGACAAUGGGGGAAACCCUGAUCCAGCCAUCCCGCGUGGGAGAUGAAGGCCGUCGGGUUGUAAAGCACUUUUGGCAGGAAAGCGGUACCUGCAGAAUAAGCACCGGCUAACUACGUGCCAGCCGCCGCGGUAAUAC
rnacentral:rRNA from 1 species